UUAACAAAUGUCUCACUUAGCAACAGAAACUUUGGGCUCAAUUGUGGUUAUAAGUCAAGGACUACCACUAUUGAAAAUUCAGAAGGGUUCAUGAAAUGUUAAGCACUAUUGUACAGACGGUUGCAUGCAUCUUCCCAGUUAUUUCUUCUCUCCUCUGGCCCCUUUAGAAAUCUCAGCUGCAGAAAGAUGUAGAUGUAACGAAAGCUUAUUGUAUAAUUCUGUUGGAAUGCAAGCAAAUGGUAAAUUUGCCUUUUCUUUUGAAGAAAGGCAACUGUAACUUGAGACGAUUUGGGGCGUAAGAGAUGAAGUUACCAGAUGGCAGAAAGAGGUAGCUGCUCUUGCAGUGAAGUGAAGGAAUUCAGCCCAGUAGAGUCAGAUUUGGUUAGAACUUGGAUAUACAAUCACCAGAAAAUCAAAGGGCUUUACCUUAAACUGAGAAAUGCUGGAAGAACACACUGGCAACUCCCCCCUCCUCUUUUUAAUUGUUUCCAUGAACAUUACGUGUACAAGAAACUGAGCUCACAUGUGUCUUUAACUUUACUUUUAGAGAGAAGAGAAAGGAUUAACAGUUGGCUAGAGGGAAAAGAAAAGGAAAAAGGAGAUUUUUUUUUUUUAAAAAAAAUGAUUCUACUUUUGGGCUGCCAAAAUUCAUGAGACAUUAAAAUUUCUGUAUCUCUUUGUUGCUAUUCAAUGCAUUCUCUGAGGGCACAGUGGCCUAGCAGUGACUGAGGCUGCAUCUUGCCCAACUGCUGGAAUUAGCUGACAACCAUUUCUGGAAGACAGACAUGGAUGACAUCACCCUCCACUGAGGAUGCUUUGACAGUGAGAUGAAGAUCCAUGGAGAUGACUUCAUCCACGCAAACAGUUGCCAGUCUGUUCUAACAACAAGUCAAGAGCUAAGCAUGGAUGUCACACAUUGACUGGGCUUGCGCAAAUUAUUUAACUAGGGCCAGAAGAUGGACAGCUGCCUCAUCAAGGUCACCAGGGAGCUGACCAUGUCCUUCCCAGGGGCAUCCGGGUCUUCAGCAGUGCUCUGGCCCUCCCAGUCCUCAGCUUCUGCCUGCUGCACAUGGUACCCAUCAAGCAGUUCCUGUCCAAUGCUAGCCUACUCUUCAGUGACUCCUCACAGAGUGACCCCAGCAGUAGAAACUUCUGGCUCAACAUGGCCGCCCUGACUGGACACUUCCAGAAACAAGCUGAGCAGGUGGGGGCCACCCCCUAUUACAACAUGAUCCUGCUCAGAUGGGGCUGCAGCUGGGAGUGCGUCGUGGAGGCCACCCGGGUGAGCGUGGACUAUUGCUAUACUGCUGCCCUGGCUCAGUCAUGGCCCUCACCAAUGUGCAGGUGCUGCUGCCCAUCAAGGAGCCCAUGGCCAAUGUCCAGCCCUGGCCAAGGCCUGCCGGAACCAGGAGGAGAAGCGCCUGCUCUGGCAACUCCUGGGCAUCCCCAGCACCCAGGGCCAGGGAGGCUCCGGCCACCUCCUGGCCAGCUGGGAGCGCUUGGACGGCCCCAGAAGGCCCAUCCCAGUGACCGCCCAGUUCACCAGCAAGGGCAGCAUCACCUUGGGGGCCUAUGUGGAGCUGGUGGGCAGCGGCUACCAGAUGUCGCUGGUGAAGAAGAGAUUUGCCACAGGAAUAUAUCUCACCAGCUCCCAAACAUCAGCGGCCCUGGGAGGUUUUCUCCCGAAGUCUUCUGGGAGACAGAAAUAAUAUAUAUAUGUAUUUUAAAUUAUUUUCUUCCUGGAUUUUAAAAGUUUUUUUGGGGGGAAGCCUGGCUGGAGGCCUGGGAGGCCAGAAGAGGACAUGAUUCCUUGAACCUGGACCCCAUACGUGGCCACGACUUUUCUCCCUUCCUCUGCUUUCAUCCAGAUUGCCCGUCUGCCUCUUCCGAAGCAUGACCGGUUGGUCCUGCCUCGUUCUGGAAGCAGCCAAAGGGAAAGGCCCUGGUGGGAAUGUUGGCCUUUUAAUAAACAUGUUUGUUUUUUUCUGGCUAAUCCAUGAUUCUGCAGGGCGUUGUGCAAACCUAGAAAAUUUAUUGAAUCAGGAAUCAAGUUAAAUAUUUAACAUGUAUGUGUGUGUGUGUAUAUAUGUAUAUUACAUACAAACAAUCCCAUUUAAAAUGAAGUCUUAUUCAGGUCUGUAAAAUUGAUUGCCAGAGUUUUUAUGGUUGGUGCUUUUUUCACAUGGAUUGAUGCACUCCCCGUGGGUUGGAUUAUUGACUUUCAAACUAAGUAUGAUGGGGUUCUGUAUAUGUAAUAGAUGCAGACCUAAUAAAAAAAAUGAUGAUGACGAAAGCCAAAUCCUAAAAAUGCAGCUUUUUAACUUUUAGUCUAUGGAUUGUUUAACUCAACUUGGACUUUUAACUGGGAUCAUUAUCAUCUUCUGCUUCCCAAGACAUGAAGAUGCCUGUUUUUAAAUGACAUGGCCUCAUGAUACCAUCUUUCUCAUCUUCCUGCAGUUUUAGCCUAAUAACCCUCAAUGUUUCCAGUAUUAAACUAGCUUUUCCCCUCCUCACUUUUCCAUAUGAGCAAUCUAUGACAUUUCACUGACAAUGUCAGCAAUGAUGACACUCAAGGGCUAUCAUGGAUUCCUGCCCUCCCCUCUAAUCUCUGAACAAUGCCCUCCAUAGGCAUUUUGACUUGGAUUGAUGGAUAGCUCUUUGAGAGGGGCAAUUGUUUACGUUAUAGAACAUAGAAUCAUAAGGCUGGAAGAGACCUUGGAGAUCUUCUAGUCCAACCCCUUGCCCAAGGCUGGUGACCUUGUACCAUCCUGAAGAAAUGAAUGUCCAAUUUUUUCUUGAAAACCUUCAGUGAUGGAGCACCCACAACUUCAGGAAGCAAGCUGUUCCAUUGAUUAAUUGUUCUCACUGUCAGGAAAUUUCUCCUUAGUUCUAGAUUGGAGUUCUCUUCAACAAGCUUCCACCCAGAGAUUUUUUAGAACAAUGGAUGUGGCAGAGAUAUUUAUAACAGAGACUAUCAACUUUGGAAAUGAGAUGCAAUUGUUCGGAAAGUUUUCAAUUAAAAUCCUAAGGAAAGAUUUUAUUAUUAAGAGCCAAAUGAAGAUACUUGAUCCUGGAUGGAUUGGAGAUUAUUGAGGUUAUCUAUGAUAGAUAAGAAACCAUUGUAGACUUUUUAUGAAUUAAUUACAAUAACAGA